AAAAAUCUAGUUUAAAGAAAAUAUUAAUUUGUCAAAUUAAAGUUACGAAAGUGAUUUUUG
rnacentral:tRNA from 1 species